rnacentral:rRNA from 1 species
GAUGAACGCUGGCGGCGUGCCUAAUACAUGCAAGUCGAGCGAACAGACGAGGAGCUUGCUCCUCUGACGUUAGCGGCGGACGGGUGAGUAACACGUGGAUAACCUACCUAUAAGACUGGGAUAACUUCGGGAAACCGGAGCUAAUACCGGAUAAUAUAUUGAACCGCAUGGUUCAAUAGUGAAAGACGGUUUUGCUGUCACUUAUAGAUGGAUCCGCGCCGCAUUAGCUAGUUGGUAAGGUAACGGCUUACCAAGGCGACGAUGCGUAGCCGACCUGAGAGGGUGAUCGGCCACACUGGAACUGAGACACGGUCCAGACUCCUACGGGAGGCAGCAGUAGGGAAUCUUCCGCAAUGGGCGAAAGCCUGACGGAGCAACGCCACGUGAGUGAUGAAGGUCUUCGGAUCGUAAAACUCUGUUAUUAGGGAAGAACAAAUGUGUAAGUAACUAUGCACGUCUUGACGGUACCUAAUCAGAAAGCCACGGCUAACUACGUG